UACGUAGGUGGCAAGCGUUGUCCGGAUUUACUGGGCGUAAAGAGCGCGCAGGCGGUCGUUCAAGUCGCGUGUGAAAGCCCCCGGCUCAACUGGGGAGGGUCACGCGAUACUGAUCGACUGGAAGGCAGGAGAGGGUAGUGGAAUUCCCGGUGUAGUGGUGAAAUGCUCAGAUAUCAGGAGGAACACCGGUGGCGAAGGCGGGUCUCUGGGCCGAUACUGACGCUGAGGAGCGAAAGCGUGGGGAGCGAACAGG
rnacentral:rRNA from 1 species